GCUGGGCGAGGUGGUACAUGCCUGUAGUCCCAGCUACUCAGGAGGCUGAGGCUGGAGGAUCAUUUGAGUCCAGGAGUUCUGGGCUGUAGUGCGCUAUGCCGAUCGGGUGUCUGCACUAAGUUCGGCAUCAAUAUGGUGAACUCCUGGGAGCGGGGGACCACCAGGUUGCCUAAGGAGGCGUGAAGCAGCCCAGGUUGGAAAUGGAGCAGGUCAAAACUCCCGUGCUAGUCCGUAGUGGAAUAGCCACUGCACUCCAGCCUGGGCAACAUUGCAAGACCCCAUCCCU
ensembl:misc_RNA Metazoa_SRP Metazoan signal recognition particle RNA